rnacentral:rRNA from 1 species
CCUACGGGAGGCGCAGUGGGGAAUCUUGCGCAAUGGGCGAAAGCCUGACGCAGCAACGCCGCGUGCGGGAAGAAGGCUUUCGGGCUGUAAACCGCUUUCAGCAGGAACGAAAAUGACGGUACCUGCAGAAGAAGGAGCGGCCAACUAUGUGCCAGCAGCCGCGGUGAUACAUAGGCUUCAAGCGUUGUCCGGAUUUAUUGGGCGUAAAGAGUUCGUAGGCGGUCGAGUAAGUCGGGUGUGAAAAUUCUGGGCUCAACCCAGAGACGCCACCCGAUACUGCUUAACUUGAGUUCGAUAGGGGAGUGGGGAAUUCCUAGUGUAGCGGUGAAAUGCGCAGAUAUUAGGAGGAACACCGGUGGCGAAGGCGCCACUCUGGAUCGAUACUGACGCUGAGGAACGAAAGCAUGGGUAGCAAACAGGAUUAGAUACCCUGGUAGUCCAUGCCGUAAACGGUGGGCACUAGGUGUGGGAUUCUAUUAACGAAUUCCGCGCCGUCGCUAACGCAUUAAGUGCCCCGCCUGGGGAAUCGGUCGCAAGCUAAAACUUAAGGAAAUUGAGGCGUGAGAGNGUCGACGACGACGACGAGGAGGAGG